rnacentral:rRNA from 1 species
GACAGAGGAUGCAAGCGUUAUCCGGAAUGAUUGGGCGUAAAGCGUCUGUAGGUGGCUUUUCAAGUCCGCCGUCAAAUCCCAGGGCUCAACCCUGGACAGGCGUGGAAACUACCAAGCUGGAGUACGGUACGGGGCAGAGGGAAUUUCCGGUGGAGCGGUGGAAAUGCGGUAGAGAUCGGAAAGAACACCAAUGGCGAAAGCACUCUGCUGGGCCGACACUGACACUGAGAGACGAAAGCUAGGGGAGCAAACAGG